rnacentral:rRNA from 1 species
CGUGUAGGCGGCUUGGUAAGUCGGGUGUGAAAGCCCGGGGCUCAACCCCGGGAUUGCAUUCGAAACUGCCUCGCUAGAGUCCCGGAGAGGAAGGCGGAAUUCUCGGUGUAGAGGUGAAAUUCGUAGAUAUCGAGAGGAACACCAGUGGCGAAGGCGGCCUUCUGGACGGUGACUGACGCUGAGACGCGAAAGCGUGGGGAGGCAAAACA